AUAUGUUAAGUGGAAAAGGAUGUGGCGUUGCCCAGACAACUAGGAUGUUGGCUUAGAAGCAGCCAUCAUUUAAAGAGUGCGUAAUAGCUCACUAGUCGAGUGACACUGCGCCGAAAAUGUACCGGGGCUAAACAUAUUACCGAAGCUGUGGAUUGUCCUUUGGACAAUGGUAGGAGAGCGUUCUAAGGGCGUUGAAGCAUGAUCGUAAGGACAUGUGGAGCGCUUAGAAGUGAGAAUGCCGGUGUGAGUAGCGAAAGACGGGUGAGAAUCCCGUCCACCGAUUGACUAAGGUUUCCAGAGGAAGGCUCGUCCGCUCUGGGUUAGUCGGGUCCUAAGCUGAGGCCGACAGGCGUAGGCGAUGGAUAACAGGUUGAUAUUCCUGUACCACCU
rnacentral:rRNA from 1 species